CAAUAGCGUAUAUUAAAGUUGUUGCAGUUAAAAAGCUCGUAGUUGAAUUUUUGCUUGCCGCCGAUGUCGGAACUUCCGUACGUUCGGCGGCGUGCAUCCUUGGGUGGAACCUGUGUGGCAUUAGGUUAUCGUGCAGGGGAUGCUCAUCGUUUACUGUGAAAAAAUUAGAGUGUUCAAAGCAGGCUUACGCCGUUGAAUAUAUUAGCAUGGAAUAAUAAGAUAGGACCUUGGUACUAUUUUGUUGGUUUGCGCACCGAGGUAAUGAUUAACAGGGACAGUUGGGGGUAUUCGUAUUCCAUUGUCAGAGGUGAAAUUCUUGGAUUUCUGGAAGACGAACUACUGCGAAAGCAUUUACCAAGGAUGUUUNCAUUA
rnacentral:rRNA from 1 species